UAGGGAAUCUUCGGCAAUGGACGGAAGUCUGACCGAGCAACGCCGCGUGAGUGAAGAAGGUUUUCGGAUCAUAAAGCUCUGUUGUAAGAGAAGAACGAGUGUGAGAGUGGAAAGUUCACACUGUGACGGUAUCUUACCAGAAAGGGACGGCUAACUACGUGCCAGCAGCCGCGGUAAUACGUAGGUCCCGAGCGUUGUCCGGAUUUAUUGGGCGUAAAGCGAGCGCAGGCGGUUAGAUAAGUCUGAAGUUAAAGGCUGUGGCUUAACCAUAGUACGCUUUGGAAACUGUUUAACUUGAGUGCAAGAGGGGAGAGUGGAAUUCCAUGUGUAGCGGUGAAAUGCGUAGAUAUAUGGAGGAACACCGGUGGCGAAAGCGGCUCUCUGGUCUGUAACUGACGCUGAGGCCCGAAAGCGUGGGGAGCGAACAGGAUUAGAUACCCUGGUAGUCCACGCCGUANCGAUGAGUGCUAGGUGUUAGACCCUUUCCGGGGUUUAGUGCCGCAGCUAACGCAUUAAGCACUCCGCCUGGGGAGUACGACCGCAAGGNUG
rnacentral:rRNA from 1 species